rnacentral:tmRNA from 1 species
GGGGAUGAUAAGUUUCGAUGAGGGGCUAUCUAAAAUAAGCAGGCUGAGUUGUUAGGCCUCAUAAAACUAACAAAAAAUAAGUGAUAACUUAUUUCAAAAACAACCCGCUUUAGCAUUAGCUUAAGCGCGGCAUCUGGCCCGCUGAUUCUCGCUAGGCGGAACCGGGUGUCAACAACCAGCGAGAUAGAUAGUUCUUCAAGGAUCCCUGAAAACUAUCAAAACAAUCGGAUCCGCAGUAUAGAAAUUUUGUCCAGUUUUAAUCCUAUACUUUUUCAAAAUUGGAAUAAGCCUGUAGAAUUAUUUUAAAAAAUCUCUUCAGACGCGGGUUCGAUUCCCGCCAUCUCCACAA